GGAGCGAUUUUGCAUAUAUAGUGUGGAAGAAUAUUCCUCUUUCUCAGUUGACUCUAACUCAUUUAGCUAAGAAGUAACUGAUCCAGUCUUGAAAAACACAACAGAAGCCAUGAUGAAAUUUCUGUUUCUCGCUGCUCUCCUUAUUGCCUUCGUCGUUGCUUGCAACGCAUAUUCCUCAUCCAAGGCCUGCGCCACCAAUGAAUAUGGCGUGAUGGAAUGUGACGAGGACGUCAAUGAGAACGGAGGUUCUUCGUCUUCAUAUGCGCACUCCGGAGGCCAAGGUUAUAGAAGGGCGUACGCUGGACCUUAUCCCCCUCCCUAUGGAUUCUACAUGUACUAAAUGAACUUGCAACUGACUGAAACGGCUUUGGAACAACAACAGCAUUUAAAUGGAUAAUCCUUUACAAUUGAUGAACAUAUUAUGAAAGAAAAAAUAACAUCCUACAGAAAGAAAUAAAAUAAAC